UUUUUCUUUUCUUUUUUUUUUUUUUUUAGGGCCACACCCAAGGCACAUGGAGGUUCCCAGGCCUAGGGGUCGAAUCCAAGCUGUAGCUGCCAGCCUACACCACAGCCACAGCAAUGCCGGAUUCUUAGCCCACUGAGCAAGGCCAGGGGGCCGAACAUGCAUCCUCAGGGGUGCUAGUGCGAUUCAUUCCCCCUGCACCACGACGGGAACUCGAGAAGACCAUUUUCAGUGGAAAAGCAGGCAUGAAGACAAAAGCAAAACGCAACUGUGGGAAGAGAAGAGACCGGCCAUCCUUAGACAUCACAACAGAACUACCUACGUCACCUUGGACCUUAACAGCCCUGAGCAAGGACACUCUCGUCUCCUCCCGUUAGAUCUGAAAACCUGGGAGUUCCUGUUGUGGCACAGUGGUUGAUUGAUCCGACUAGGAUCCAUGGGGUUGCGGGUUCGAUCCCUGGGCUCGUUCAGUGGGUUAAGGAUCCAGCAUUGCCAUGAGCUGUGGUGUAGGUCGCAGACAAGGCUUGGAUCCCCCGUUGCUGUGGCUGUGGUAUAGGCCAGUGGCUACAGCUCCGAUUGGACCCCUAGCCUGGGAAUCUCCAUAUGCGGCGAGAGCAGCCCUAGAAAAGGCAAAAAGACCAAAAAAAAAAAAAAUCUGAAAACCUGAGCCAACAUCUUCCUACCAAAAUGUCCACAUCAGUUCCCGAGUCUCCAGAACUAAAGUGGGCCAGGGAGUUCCGGCGGUGGCUCAGAGGUAACAAACCCAACUAAUAUCCAUGAGGAUGCAGGCUGGAUUGUUUCUGCUGCGCCACAAGGGGAACUCCCCAGACACUUAACGUUUUACAUACAUGAAGUCAUUUAAUCCUUGCCAUCAUGUUUUUUCCGUUGGUUUUUUUUAGGACCGCACCCGCAGCCUUUUUUCAUUUUUAAAAACCAUACUGAGGUAUAGCUGACUUACAAGGUUCUGACGAUUCCUGCUGCACAGCAAAGUGGUCCAGCUGUACAUAUAUACACAUUCCUUCCUUUUCGAAUUCUCUUCCCACAGAUGAUCACAAAACACUGAGCAUCAAACCAUUUUUUAAAAGUUCUUUUGCCCCCUCCCCCCAGACUAGCAUCCAGGCAGUGUUACCUCACUGCACGCGGCCAUUAACACGGAUGAAGAUUUAACAUCAACUGGGGAGCUCCCUGUUGGCUCAGUGGGUUAGGAUCUGGCAUUGUCACUCCUGUGGCUCGGAUCACUUCGGUGGCGCAGUUUUGAUCCCUGGAAAUUCUGUACGCCAUGGGCACAGCCCAAAAAAAUAAAUAAAUAGCUGGAAUGGAAGCAACCACCAACAGCUAAAUGAAUAAAGAAGAUGUGGUACAGGAGUUCCCAUCGUAGCUCAGUGGUUAACGAACCCGGCUAGCAUCCAUGAGGAUGAGGGUUCGAUCCCUGGCCUCGCUCAGUGGGUUAAAGAUCUGGCGUUGCCGUGAGCUGUGGUGUAGGUCACAGACUCGGCUCAGACCUAGCAUUGCUGUGGCUGUGGUGUAGGUCAGCGGCUGCAGCUCUGAUUGGACCCCCAGCCUGGGAACCUCCAUACGUCUCGGGUGUGGCCUUAGAUAAGAAGACAAAAAGAAGAAGAAGAUCUAAACACACGCACAUGCACACACAUCUGAUGGAAUACUACUCGCCCCUCAAAAACAAUGACAUAAUGUCAUCUCAAUUAAAUUAACACAGAUGGACUUGGAGAUUAUACACUAAGUGAGGUAAGUCAAACAGAGAAUGGCAAAUAUCAUAUAUCACUUAUACAUGGAAUCCAAAAAAAAAAAAAAAAAGAGUUCCCUCAUGGCCUAGCAGGUUAAGGAUCCAGUGCUGUCACUGUGUGACUCAGGUCACUGCUGUGGCUUGGGUUCAAUCCCUGGCCAAGAACUUCCAUGUGCCACAGACACAGCCCCCCAAAAAUAAACAAAUAAACAUAGUCUUUGAGAUGACAAAAAUGAACUUCUUUACAAAACAGAGCAGUUCCCAUUGUGGCUCAGCAGGUUAAGAACCCAACUAGAGGAUUUGGGCUUGAUCUCUGGCCUCGCUCAGUGGGUUAAAGGAUCCAGCACUGCCGCAAGCUGCAGCAUAGGUCUGGGAUACGGCUCGGAUCUGGCACUGCUAUGGCUAUGGUCCAAGUCGGCUGCUAUGGCUCUGACUGGACCCCUAGCCUGGGAACCUCCACAUGCCAAAGGUGCAGCCCUAAAAAGACAAAAAUACAAGAACAAAACAGAAACAGACUCAGACGUAAAAAUCAAACGUAUGGUUACCAAAUGGGGUGAACUAGGAGUCUGGGGUGAACACAUACACACUACUAUACGUAAAAUCAGUAACUACUAAGGUUCUGCUAUACAGUGCAGUGCAGGGAACCACAUGAAACGUUCAGUAACAACCUCCACGGGAGAGACUCCGACAAAGACUGGAUAUACGCACAUGUGUAACUCAUCCCCUUUGCCGUACACCUGAGACCAAUGCAACAUUGUUGUUAUAAAUAAGAUAAAUAACAUAAAUUGUUAAUAAGUCAAUUAUUCUCUAAGGUGGACGGAAACAAAUCUGACUGGCAUCCAUGAGGACAAAGGUUUGAUCCCUGGCCUUGCUCAGUGGGUUAAGGAUCCGACGUUGCUGUGAGCUGUGGUGUAGGUCACAGACGCGGCUUGGAUCUGGCAUUGCUGUGGCUGUGGCACAGGCUGGCAGCUAUGGCUCCAAUUCGACCCUUAGCCUGGGAACCUCUAUACGCCGCGGGUGCGGCCCGAGGUCAACAUUAGAGAUGCUGAGACAGAUCACCGGGCGAGGGCUGCCACCUAGGCCUUCCCGUGAAAGGCACGCAUGUCCCCUGCAACCAAGUCAUCCAAGGGUAACCCCGAGUGAGCAUGUCAGUACUGUGAACCGACCGCAUCCAGGAGGAAAGAUGUUGACGCUAACCCACGUUCGAAUUACCAAAAAGCACAGGCAGAGUAGUAAAAGCGUAAGCCCCAACCGGGGAAAGCCAAACACGUCAAGGAGGGAUUUCCAGCCACAGGAGACUGGGCUGGAUACAGAAGAGACAAGAGGGAGGGCCGCCACGAAGAACGCCAAGAAAAGGUAUGAGCACAGCCUUCAGCGUGGACACACUGCAACCCAGCAGGUGCUGGUCCUACGACACAGCAGAGGGUCACUUUCCAGGAUGCUCCUAAGGGUAGAGCGUCUCCAAGCUGCCAGGCAGCGAACACCCCCGCAGCCAAAGGAAACAGGGCAGAGGCUCACGAGGGCUCAGACCAGACAGCAGCACACAGUGAUCGCUGCUCUUCUUCCUGCCUCCACCUAGUACCGCCGUCUUCAUCGUAAAAAUUGGGGAAGUUUCCGUUGUGGCUCAGAGGGUUAAGAACCCAACUAGCAUCUAUCCAUGAGGAUGUGGGUUCAAUCCCUGGCCGUCCUCAGCAGGUUAAGGAUCAGGCGUUGCCGUGGCUGGGGUGCAGGCCAGCAGCUGUAGCUCCAAUUCAACUCCCGGCCCGGGAAAUUCCUUAUGUCGCCGGUGCCGCCCUAAAAAGACCCUCCCCCCAAAAAAAGAGAGAGAAAAAAGUAAAACACUGAUUUUUUUGUUCUUGUUGUCUUUUUAGGGCCAAACCUGUGGCAUUUUGUCUUUUUAGGGCCACACCCGGCAUGCAGAAGUUCCCAGGCUAGGGGUCGAAUCAGAGCUACAGCUGCCAGCCACACCACAGUCACAGCAACACCAGAUCCAAGCCACAUCUUCAAUCUACACCACAGCUCACAGCAACAUGAGAUCCUUAACCCACUGAGCAAGGCCAGGGAUCGAAUCUGCAUCCUCAUGGAUGCUAGUUGGAUUCGUUUCCACUGCACCACAAUGGGAACUCCAAAACACUGAUUUUUUUUUUGCAUUCAAGUUUGCUAGACUAAUAAGGGGUACUUACAAAAUCAACUAAAGGAGUUCCCAUCGUGGCGCAAUGGUUAACGAAUCCGACUAGGAACCAUGAGGUUGCGGGUUCGGUCCCUGCGCUUGCUCGGUGGGUUGACGAUCCGGCGUUGCGUGAGCUGUGGUGUAGGUUGCAGAUGCGGCUCGGAUCCCACGUUGCUGGGGCUCUGGCGUAGGCCGGUGGCUACAGCUCCGAUUGGACCCCUAGCC
rnacentral:lncRNA from 1 species